rnacentral:rRNA from 1 species
UGCCAGCAGCCGCGGUAAUACAGAGGGGGUUAGCGUUGUUCGGAAUUACUGGGCGUAAAGCGCACGUAGGCGGAUUAGAAAGUUAGAGGUGAAAUCCCAGGGCUCAACCCUGGAACUGCCUUUAAAACUAGUGAUCUAGAAUUUGGUAGGGGCCAGUAGAAUUUCCAGUGUAGAGGUGAAAUUCGUAGAUAUUGGAAAGAAUACCAGUGGCGAAGGCGACUGGCUGGGCCAUUUUUGACGCUGAGAUACGAAAGCGUGGGUAGCAAACAGGAUUAGAUA